GACGAGCGCUGGCGGCGUGCUUAACACAUGCAAGUCGAGCGGAGCGGCGAACGGGUGAGUAACGCGUGAGUAACUGCCCCCCUAUCUGGGUUAACAGAUGGAAAAGGCUGCUAAUACCGGAUAGUGGGGGAUGCCUCGCGUCCUAUCAGCUUGUUGGUGGGGUAGUGGCCUACCAAGGCGACGACGGGUAGCCGGCCUGAGAGGGCGACCGGCCACAUUGGGCUGUGAUACUGUCCAAACUCCUACGGGAGUCAGCAGUGGGGAAUAUUGCAACAUGGUGGAAACCCUGAUGCAGCAACGCCGCGUUCGGGAUGUCGGCCUUCGGGUUGUAACCCGCUUUCCGCCAUGACGCGGUAGUGGCAGAAGAAGCACCGGCUAACGACGUGCCAGCAGCCGCGGUAAUUC
rnacentral:rRNA from 1 species